AACAGGAUUAGAUACCCUGGUAGUCCACGCCCUAAACGAUGUCUACUAGUUGUUGGGAGGGUAACCUCUUAGUAACGCAGCUAACGCGUGAAGUAGACCGCCUGGGGAGUACGGUCGCAAGAUUAAAACUCAAAGGAAUUGACGGGGACCCGCACAAGCGGUGGAUGAUGUGGAUUAAUUCGAUGCAACGCGAAAAACCUUACCUACCCUUGACAUGCCACUAACGAAGCAGAGAUGCAUUAGGUGCUCGAAAGAGAAAGUGGACACAGGUGCUGCAUGGCUGUCGUCAGCUCGUGUCGUGAGAUGUUGGGUUAAGUCCCGCAACGAGCGCAACCCUUGCCAAUAGUUGCUACGAAAGGGCACUCUAUUGGGACUGCCGGUGACAAACCGGAGGAAGGCGGGGAUGACGUCAAGUCCUCAUGGCCCUUAUGGGUAGGGCUUCACACGUCAUACAAUGGUCGGUACAGAGGGUUGCCAAGCCGCGAGGUGGAGCCAAUCCCAGAAAACCGAUCGUAGUCCGGAUUGCAGUCUGCAACUCGACUGCAUGAAGUCGGAAUCGCUAGUAAUCGCGGAUCAGCAUGUCGCGGUGAAUACGUUCCCGGGUCUUGUACACACCGCCCGUCACACCAUGGGAGUGGGUUUUACCAGAAGUAGUUAGCCUAACCGCAAGGAGGGCGAUUACCACGGUAGGAUUCAUGACUGGGGUGAAGUCGUAACAAGGUAACC
rnacentral:rRNA from 1 species